GCCGGCCGCUCCCUUCUAGUCCCCGCCCCUUACAGACCGUGAGCAUCUCUCCCCUAUAGUUAACGCUCUGUACAGGACUGAUGCCACCCUCUGCUUGCAAUCCUGCCCCUUAUAGCAUCCGAGCCCCUCCUCCUUUUAUUAACAGCCUCUGGCUCCGCCUCUUAGUACUACACUUUCUCCCCUCCCCUUUUACAAUGAGAUCUUCCCCAGGCUCCGCCCUUGAUCCUACCUAUGCUCCUCCCCUUCCCCGCUCUCCUAACCUCCACUCCCUUGACUCCCCUGGCUCUUUCUAUGGCGGGGAUUCUCAACCUUUCUAAUGCUGCGUCCCUUUAAUAUAGUUCUUUAUGUUGUGUUUACCCGCCCUACCGUAAAAUUAUUUUUGUUGCUACUUCAUAAAUAUCUGUAGUUUUGCUACAGUUAUGUAUUGUAAUGCAAACAUCUGUGUUGUCCGAUGGUCUCUGGUGACUCCUUGUGAAAAGGUCGUUGGAGGCUACAACGGGGUCGCGACUCACUGGUUGAGAACCGCUGUUCUCUAGGGUCUUCUCAGCCCUGCCCCCGCCCACUCAGGCCCGUCUUCUGGCCUGCCCCUGCUCUGGCCUGGCCUCCUCUGGGUCCAAGACUAAAGUUGGCUGAGUCUUCCACUGAUCUCUCCUGCCCGCCCCUUCCGCUGUCCUCAGGCCUUAUUGGCCCCUUGUCUCCCCAGUAACCAGACUACAACAGUGAGAGUGGAGCUACAGCGACUGGUCAGGCACUCAAGCAGGUAGAACCUUGACCUCGCCUCCCACCCCACCCCAAUCCGGCCGGGGUUCCGAGGUGCGGAGAAGCUGCCCAGGGACCGAGUCUGAGUCAAGCCGCAGGGUCCAGAUUGUGUGUUUUUGGGGAGCUCCACCGCUAUGUCGAGGAUGCGUUUGGGUCCACCCACCAGGAGCGCCCGCUCCGAAGAAGGAAGCGAGAUCUUCCUGGAGGGAUCAGUGGAUGGGGAGCUCAGCCGCCUGCAACGGCAGUGCAAGAUGAUGGAGUUGGAAAGGCGGGCAUACAGCAAGGAAGUUCAUCAGCGCCUCAGGAAGCAAGUCGAGGAGAUUCGGCAGCUGGAGAUGCUUCGAGCCAAGCUCCAGACGCAGAUUAACGUAGCGCAGAGCCAGGUCAAGCGACUGGGAGACAAGAAGCAUUUGGCGGAAAUGGAAUGUCUUCUCAAGUCUCGGGCCCAGGUGCAGGUGGAAAUCGAGGCGCUGCAAGAGCAGAACCGGGCCCUGGACAAGCAGAUCCAGGACUGGGAGACCCAUGUCCUCACGCAGAGUAAGGAGGCCUCGGCUCCCGAUCUCAUCAUGUACCAGAAGAUGAAAAUCCAGAGAAGGAUCAGGAUCCUUGAAGACCAGCUGGACAGGGUCACCUGUCAUUUUGACAUCCAUCUGGUGAGGAAUGCAGCCCUGCGGGAGGAGCUGGAGCUGCUGCGCAUCGAGAGGGGCCGCUACCUGAAUAUGGACCGCAAGCUGAAGAAGGAGAUCCACCUACUCCGGGAGAUGGUUGGAGCUCUCAGCACAUCCUCUACUUCUGCUUAUACUGCCAGGGAAGAGGCCAAGACCAAGAUGGGCAUGCUUCAGGAGCGCGCAGAGAAGGAGCUGGCUCAGAGUGAUACGGAGGCACAGAUCUUGCUGCGACAGAUAUCGCAUCUGGAGCAGCUGCAUCGAUUCCUUAAGCUCAAGAACGAUGAACGACAACCGGAUCCCCGUGUGGUGCAAAAGGCAGAACAGCGAGACUGGGAAGUGUCAGAAGGACUCCGAAAGACCUCCCAAGAGAAGCUAGUGCUGCGUUAUGAGGACACUCUGGGCAAACUGGCCCAGCUGACCGGCGAGAGCGACCCUGACCUUUUGGUGGAGAAAUACCUGGAGUGUGAGUGGGCAGAGUGGACGAGAGGAGGCGGGGCUACCCAGCACCACCCAAAGCACGGCACACUUGCCUUGCCCUGGGGAUCCUGCCUUGUCUCCAGUUUUCAUUCUGUUGCUUGGUGUGCCUCCCUUGCAUCUGCCUCUGUUUCUUUCCAUAUGUCUCAGACUUCCUCUCUCCAUAUCUGUCCCUUGACCCUCUCUGUCUGUUUCCUUGGGCCUUCCCAAAUCUUUUACCAACCCUGUCUUUCUCGGUGUGUUGGUGCCCUUCUGUGGCUGUUCCUGUUUCAUCUGUCUCUGUUUUUCUGCCUUUGUUUCUGUCGCCUUGCAACCCUUAGUGAUCCUUCUGUUUCUAACUCCAUCCCUCUGGACCCCCCCUGCACACCCCCAGUGGAGGAACGCAACUUUGCUGAGUUUAACUUCAUCAAUGAGCAGAACUCCGAGAUACACCACCUUCAGGAGGAGAUCAAAGAGAUGCAGGAAGCCUUAGUCAGUGAGCAUGCCAGUCAGGAUAAACAGCGCAUGCAGCAAGAGCAGCAGUGCAAAAUGUUGCAGCAGGAUGUGGACAAGAUGUGUUCUGAGUCAGAGCAGCUGGAGGGUCGCUUCCAGGUGCUCCGAGGUCAGCUGGAAAAAAUCAAGACUGGGAGGCUGUGAGGGAAGCACGGGGCCCCGACACAACGUCCCUCUCUCAUCCCAGAUAUCCAGGUGCUCUUCGACAAGGCUAAGUGUGACAGCAGUGUCAUCAAGGAUCUCCUUGGGGUCAAGACCUACAUGCGGGACAGGGACAUAGGCCUCUUCCUGAGUACCAUUGAGAGGCGGCUGGUGCAGCUCCUCACUGUGCAGGCCUUCCUCCAGGUCCAGAACCUUGCCCCUUUGGCUGAUGCUGCACUUCUAGCACUGGGCCAGAGCCUACAGGAACCCUCCAAGAAGACGACUCCACUCAAGCCUCCUGAUACCAUGACUCCUCAGGGGCUGUAAUCAAAGAGGAUUACCCUAUGAGCAAGGAGGAGUUGCUAAGCCAAGUCAUGAAGUCGCUGCAGCUCCAGGACGAGGAGGAGUCCGCCAAGAAGCUGGACAGCAGCCCGAGCUUGACUCUCUCCAGUCCACAGAUCUCCCUGGUCACUGUCCCCAAGCAUUCCAAGAAGACCAGUGUAGUCCCCGAAUCCAUCCUGAGCCACAAGACGAACCGAGGCCGUGGCACUGGCUCCGUGAGCCAUGUCACCUUUGGUGACUCUGCCUCUGCUGCAGGCCCUGUGGCCAUGGCUUCUGCCAGUGCCAGUGGAGCACCUGUGUCCAGUCGGAGCUCCCAGGGGGGCCGUGGGGGCUUCAAACCCACGAGCUCCAGCAGCUACCUGGGGUCUACAGGCUACCUAGAGACCAGCAGAGGCCGCGAGAGCACAGCAGGCGGCGUUCACAGCCAGAGCAUGGGAUCUGAGUUGAGUAGAGGCCUCAGUUCCAGCAGUGGCCAUGCAUCCAGUCCUGCCCCUCCCUCCAGGCCCAGCUCCUCUACUAGCAAGGACUCCAGGGGCUACAACUAGGGCUGCGGGUCCCUUCCUGCCUCAACUCUUGGCAGGUUUUCUAAUGUCUGCCCUGCUUCUCCCUAGAGACUCCUUUCUAAUCCCUGUAAGCCCAGGCCUCUUCGGUUUCCCUCUGUCUCUUCCCAUCUUUCCCCAUGGUUACUGCCUCUGCCUUGGCCUUGCCUCUCUGUUCUCAUCCUCCUUGUUUCCCAUCUUUACCUCCUCAUCUCUCUCCCAAGCUUCCCUCCAUCCUAUGUCUCUGUCUCCUAACUGGAUUGCCCUCCAUUGACUAGGUGAACUGUAACUAUAGGAAAUAAAGGUCAGAGCCCUGUUUUUCCAA